rnacentral:rRNA from 1 species
AGUGAACGCUGGCGGUAGGCCUAACACAUGCAAGUCGAACGGCAGCACAGUAAGAGCUUGCUCUUACGGGUGGCGAGUGGCGGACGGGUGAGGAAUACAUCGGAAUCUACUUUUUCGUGGGGGAUAACGUAGGGAAACUUACGCUAAUACCGCAUACGACCUACGGGUGAAAGCAGGGGAUCUUCGGACCUUGCGCGAUUGAAUGAGCCGAUGUCGGAUUAGCUAGUUGGCGGGGUAAAGGCUCACCAAGGCGACGAUCCGUAGCUGGUCUGAGAGGAUGAUCAGCCACACUGGAACUGAGACACGGUCCAGACUCCUACGGGAGGCAGCAGUGGGGAAUAUUGGACAAAGGGCGCAAGCCUGAUCCAGCCAUACCGCGUGAGUGAAGAAGGCCUUCGGGUUAUAAAGCCCUUUUGUUGGGAAAGAAAAGCAGCAGGUUAAUACCCCGCUGUUCUGACGGUACCCAAAGAAUAAGCACCGGCUAACUUCGUG